rnacentral:rRNA from 1 species
UACGUAGGGGGCGAGCGUUGUCCGGAGUUACUGGGCGUAAAGCGCACGCAGGCGGUCUGCUAAGUUUGGAGUGACAGUUGGUGGCUUAACUGCCAAAGUGCUUCGAAAACUGACAGACUUGAGGGCUUCAGAGGGACACGGAAUUCCGGGUGGAGUGGUGAAAUGACGUAGAGAUCCGGAGGAACACCAAAGGCGAAGGCAGUGUCCUGGGGAGUACCUGACGCUCAGGUGCGAAAGCCAGGGGAGCGAACGGGG